UUGAAGGGAUAUCUGCCCAAUUAAAUAACCUGCAGGGCUGGAAUUGAGAAUCAAUGUGGCAUGAACGAUGAGCUUUGGACUGCCAACGCUGAACACUAAAUCCAUUGCAGCCUCUGCUUUAACAAAGAGAGAAGGAUGGGGAGGAAUACUGCAGCCGGGAUUUCCCGGACUGCACACAUGGUGUUGAGAGGCAGGAGGUGGCUCAGCAUCACUGUCCUGUGCUCUGGGACACAACCAAGGCAUAUGGGAUCUUCAGAGAUCUUCACUGCUCAGGAUGUAUCACUCGCUGGCAACGCUGGGACCACCCUACUCAAGGGAGCCACCAAGGCAGAGUGCACCUUCUGUGGAAGUCCAAUCCCAUCAGCUGGGCCUCUGUCCAGCAGUGAUUAAAGGGUCUUUCCAAGCCCACCUGAGGAUGUGUGCCCACAUCGUUCCUCUUCUCAUCACCUCUAUGGACAUCCAGCGUUGAGUUGGAGCUUGGGUUAUUAAGACCUUAUGUAGAGAGUGAAGCUGCUCCCACAUAUGUGUUCCUUUCCUCUACCUAUUUGCAGCUGUUA